rnacentral:rRNA from 1 species
UACGGAGGGUGCAAGCGUUGUCCGGAUUUAUUGGGCGUAAAGGGUGCGUAGGUGGGGUGUCAAGUCUGGUUUGAAAGUUCCCUGCUCAACAGUUAGACGUGGCUGGAAACUGGGGUUCUGGAAUGGGUUGGAGGCUGCCGGAACGGGUCAUGUAGCGGUGAAAUGCAUAGAUAUGACCCAGAACACCGAUUGCGAAGGCAGGCAGCUACGACCUGAUUGACACUGAGGCGCGAGAGCAUGGGGAGCGAACAGG